CGGGAUGUAGCGCAGCCUGGUAGCGCGCUUCGUUCGGGACGAAGAGGCCGCUGGUUCGAAUCCAGUCAUCCCGACCA
rnacentral:tRNA from 1 species